CCUACGGGAGGCAGCAGUGAGGAAUAUUGGUCAAUGGCCGUAAGGCUGAACCAGCCAAGUCGCGUGAAGGACGACGGCUCUAUGGGUUGUAAACUUCUUUUAUAGGGGAAUAAAGGUAUCCACGUGUGGAUAUUUGCAUGUACCCUAUGAAUAAGCAUCGGCUAACUCCGUGCCAGCAGCCGCGGUAAUACGGAGGAUGCGAGCGUUAUCCGGAUUUAUCGGGUUUAAAGGGUGCGUAGGUUGUUUUUUAAGUCAGCGGUGAAAGUUUGUGGCUCAACCAUAAAAUUGCCGUUGAUACUGGAAGACUUGAGUGUGUUUGAGGUAGGCGGAAUGCGUGGUGUAGCGGUGAAAUGCAUAGAUAUCACGCAGAACUCCGAUUGCGAAGGCAGCUUACUAAGCCAUAACUGACACUGAAGCACGAAAGCGUGGGGAUCAAACAGGAUUAGAUACCCUAGUAGUC
rnacentral:rRNA from 1 species